AUGGAGCUUUACUGCAGUUUGAUAUUGAGUGUCUGUACCACAUGUACAGGAUAGGUAGGAGUCUAAGAGAUCGGGACGCCAGUUUCGAAGGAGACGUUGUUGGGAUACUACCCUUGUGUUAUGGCCACUCUAACCCGGAUAGGUGAUCCCUAUCGGAGACAGUGUCUGACGGGCAGUUUGACUGGGGCGGUCGCCUCCUAAAAGGUAACGGAGGCGCCCAAAGGUUCCCUCAGAAUGGUUGGAAAUCAUUCGCAGAGUGUAAAGGUAUAAGGGAGCUUGACUGCGAGAGCUACAACUCGAGCAGGGACGAAAGUCGGGCUUAGUGAUCCGGUGGUUCCGUAUGGAAGGGCCAUCGCUCAACGGAUAAAAGCUACCCUGGGGAUAACAGGC
rnacentral:rRNA from 1 species